UAUAUAAUGGAGGAAUAGCUCCCAAGCAAAAGUUUUAUAUUAUAUAAUGUUGAAUGUGAAUUGUUCAUGUAUGUUUUAUUUGUAAACAAAUGCGGAAAAUGGUAAUAAACAGUUAAAUGAUAAAUAUUAAGUAAUUAUUGACUGAAAACAAGCUCACAUCUUUUUGAAAAGAUAGUUGUAAGUUAAUUCUGUUUUCAUUAAAGUGAAAGAAGACAUUUACACUGGAAACUAAACCUAAAAAGUGGGGUCCGGAGCUCCCCCGAGGGUAUGAAAAUGAUAUCCAGAAUCGUUAUUAUGUGAAACCCGUGGUGCACAGAGGGCCAAAAUACGAAAAACCUAAAUGAAUAACCACAUCAUAAAAUAAUUGUGGAUUUACUAUGAAACAAAUAACUGUAUCAAUGAAUGUCCAAUUGAAUAAUAAAAUAUACAUUUUAAGUAAUAUUAAAUAACAAAAUGUCACCUUUAAACAAUAAAUCACUCUGUGUUUAUUUAUUAAAUAAAUAUAUGUAGCAGAAAUAAAAAUGCACUUUUUUAACCUCUAUUUCAAAAUCAUGUUAUAUUGAGAAUUUGUGAAUUUUACCUCAUUGAGCUAUUUUUAUUUCCUGCUUAAUUAAUUUUGCCUGUGGGAAUCGCCUUUCUGCGCUCUGGCUGGUUUGUGCCUCCUGGGCUUCCGUAGCUCUUCCCGCUCUUCGCAGCUUCGCCUCCUGCUGUUUCCCCUCAGCCUGUUCUGCGCUGCUGAGGGAGCAGAGUGCACACAGAAAGGUGGAUAGAAGUGGAUUCAUAUGUUUUAAUCGCUUCUCCAGGUAUUUUAUUUUUGUUUAUUUAACUCUGCCCCAUUGUGUUAUGUGUUCAUGUGGCCACCAAGUGGCAUUUUCUUUCUCUUGUUCUUGUUUUCAUUUUUGUGAGGAGACUUAUGUAUUUUUUUGUUGUUGAAAAUUGACUUUAAAAAAGAAAUGUUAUUGUCCUAUUUCUUGGAUGGUUGCAAGCUGAACAAUUUAGGAACUCCUGGUGUAGAAAACAGAAAUAUUGUCAUAAGCAUAAUGAAAUCAAAUGAAAAAUCCUAACCAUUUCACUCUCCAGACAUGUGGAAACUCAAUGUUACUGCUUCAAAGUAAAAUAAUUGCACAUAGUAAGUCAUACGUAUAUAAUAUAACAUCAUAAUUUAUGAGAUUAAUCAUUAAGCAAUUCAAAAUUAUAAUUAUGAGAGUGAUUCAGUCACAGUUAUGCAGUUCAAUGCCAGGAUUAUGAGAUUAAAAAUCAGAAUCUGAUUAAACAUAAUAAUUAUAAGGUUAAGUGAUUCAAAAUUAUAACAAUGUAAUUGUCAUGUUUAUGAGAUUAAAAACUUUGAAAUAAUUUUUAAAAAUCAUAGUUAUGAAUAAUUAGUACUUAAUUGAUUUGAGUUUUGGGAAAUUACUGCAGCUGAAAUUAAAUAUGUCUUGGUUUUUAUUUGUAAUAUUUUCUUGGUAUUUUUCUACUUUCCAGGCUUGGAUUUGAGGAUCCCAGUUUUAUAAUAUUGGCAACAAUUAUAGAUGCAUGGCUAGUAAAUAAAAUCAAAAUAUCAAACCUUUAAUUAAAACUUGAAUUUGGGGUCAUAUUAUGUUAAAGACUUGCAUCAGUUUAUAGACAAUAUAUUUUGUCUCAAUAUUUCAGGAAUUGACUACAUCAGACGGCAGAUGGGAGAACCUGCCCUCCCUAGCAACCGUUACCAUGCUGCUGACAAUGAGUAUGAAAACGUCAAAUUCACUUUGAAGUUUUAGCUCGGCUGAAAGAAGACGAGUGAAGAAAACUCACAGAGUGAAGUGGAUGUCAGACCUACGGUCCCUUUGUGGAACCCCGGAUUACAGAAAGAGGAACUUUAUCAGCGAACAUCUUUGGAAAGUGAUGGAAAAAGCUGCAGACGGACCAAUACUUACUUUUGCUUUUAAUUUUGAGAAAACCUGGAGAAUUAGAUGUUUAUAUCAGUAUUGUUUCUUUUGCUCUGUAGUUCAGUAGUUCUUUGUGUUUCUAGUUAUGCUUUUCUUAGUUAGUCUUUGCCACUAGUUUUAUUUUGUUUCGUUAGUCUGGUUAUUCUUUAGUGAUAGAUUUUUUUGUGCACGCUCCCUCGCCCCCGUCUCUCUCUACUCAGUUGGACUUUCUCCCCUCACACCUGCGAUCAGUUUGCCAAUCAGUUCUUUGUUCAGAAAUCAACCUCCUAAUACUUAAGUUUUGAAUUUCAUCAUUAUUUUUAUUAAAUCAUCAAAUUCA